rnacentral:rRNA from 1 species
CGCCUGUUUACCAAAAACAUCGCCUCUUGACAAACUAUAAGAGGUCCAGCCUGCCCAGUGACGUAGUUAAACGGCCGCGGUAUCCUGACCGUGCGAAGGUAGCAUAAUCAUUUGUUCUUUAAAUAGGGACUAGUAUCAACGGCAUCACGAGGGUUAUACUGUCUCCUCUCUCCAAUCAGUGAAACUGAUCUCCCCGUGAAGAAGCGGGGAUAAAUCUAUAAGACGAGAAGACCCCAUGGAGCUUUAAACUCAACAACAAUUUCCCUUAAGAUAUUCUACAUAAUUAUGGAAGUACUGUUUGUUAGUUUUGGGUUGGGGUGACCGCGGAGAAAAAUUAAACCUCCACGACGAAUGGAAUUAACUCCUAAUCUAAGAGCCACCGCUCUAAGAAUCAAUAAAUUGACAUAAUCUGAUCCGAUAAUCGAUCAACGGACCAAGUUACCCUGGGGAUAACAGCGCAAUCCAUUUCAAGAGCUCCUAUCGACAAAUGGGUUUACGACCUCGAUGUUGGAUCAGGGUAUCCCAGUGGUGCAGCCGCUACUAAAGGUUGUGUUUGUUCAACAAUUAAAACCCUACGUGAUCUGAGUUCAGACCGG